UACGUAGGGAGCAAGCGUUGUCCGGAAUCAUUGGGCGUAAAGCGCGCGUAGGUGGCUUCGUAAGUCCGUUGUGAAAGUCAAAGGCUCAACCUUUGAAAGCCGAUGGAUACUGCGGAGCUAGAGUACGGAAGAGGCGAGUGGAAUUCCUGGUGUAGCGGUGGAACGCGCAGAUAUCAGGAGGAACACCAAUAGCGAAGGCAGCUCGCUGGGACGUUACUGACACUGAGGCGCGAAAGCGUGGGGAGCGAACAGG
rnacentral:rRNA from 1 species